AUACGGAGGAUGCGAGCGUUAUCCGGAUUUAUUGGGUUUAAAGGGUGCGCAGGCGGGCGAUUAAGUCAGCGGUGAAAGGCUCGGGCUCAACCGGAGCAGUGCCGUUGAUACUGGUUGUCUUGAAUGCGGUCAAGGCCGGCGGAAUGUGGCGUGUAGCGGUGAAAUGCAUAGAUAUGCCACAGAACCCCGAUAGCGAAGGCAGCUGGCCGGGCCUGCAUUGACGCUGAGGCACGAAAGCGUGGGGAUCGAACAGGAUUAGAUACCCUGGUAGUCCACGCUGUAAACGAUGGACACUCGUUGUCGGCGACAGACAGUCGGCGGCCAAGCGAAAGUGAUAAGUGUCCCACCUGGGGAGUACGGUCGCAAGGCUGAAACUCAAAUGAAUUGACGGGG
rnacentral:rRNA from 1 species